CCGCGCGCCCGGCUCCGGCCGGAGCGAUCCGGGCCGCCGCGCCCGGCUGGGGGCGCGGUGCCCGCGGGGGUGUACGUCUGUCCGUCCGUCCGUCCGUCCGUCCGUCCGCGCCCCGCCCCUGCGGUGGCUCCCAGCUCGCUGGGCUCAGCCGUCGUGCCCGACCGACGCACGGAGCGUGGCCGUGGCUGCUGCGCUGCGGCCUCGGGGCUGGCGGCCGGGGAGGGAGGGCCGGGAUGGAGGCGCUCUGCGGUCCGGGCUUAACACCUGAGGAAACUGGUGGAAAAGUUUGAGAAAGCGAAGUCCAAUCGUCUUGCAGCUUCCACCCUCCCGGUGACACCGCGGCCACGGGAAGGAGCGGGCAGUGUCCACAUCUCUGACGGAGCCCCGCCGCCCAGGCCCGUGCUGCCCACCGGCCCGGGCUGCUGCCCUGACUCGGCGGUGCGCGCGACCCUGCCUGCUGGCGCGCGCACGGGCCGUGCCUCGCCUCCGGCUUCCGCUCCACGCAUCCCAGGUCGCUGUCACCGUCCCCACGGUCUGGGUCUCCUCCUCUGCCUCCACACUUGCAGCCCGCGAGGACGCAUAUCAGUCAGCCUUAAGAGCCAAGUUGGCCUGGAGGUGGUGGCCUCCCUCUGGGAGGGCUUUCCUACUAGGCCGGGAUGUUUCCUGCUGGCUAACUUUCUGGGUCUGGUUUCUAUAACCUGACCUCUUCCUCCUGCCCUGCCUCUCCCUCACUUGGUUUUGAAUUACUGCAGAAAGGUUACUUAGUACCUUUCUACCUCUUUUCUAGCCUGGGAGGCUGUAGGUGACAGCAGGCGGCCCUCAAUCCCCCACUCCACCCCCAGGCAAGCCCCUGAGGCCUAAGGCCUGGUUAGAAAUCACGGGGGACAGGGGGUGCUGUAGCAUAGGGAGCCGCUAGCUGUUAGACCUGAACUUGGAGGCUUCUGGAGGGCUGUUCGGGGCCCCACCCCUGCAUCCCAGUGGGGAGAGGGCUUUGCCAGUGAACCUCUGUUUUUCUCCUGUGAUGUCUGAUCUGGAGCUCUGCUCUCCUUGGCUGUAAACGCAGUGCUACUAUCUUGUAGGAAGCACAGUAGUGUCAUGAUUGAUAAAUAAUAAAUAAUAAUAAUCUACUGAGGGCUGCAGGAGGAUUGUCACUGACAAGGAAUGAGGACACCAGGGAAUUGUCCCACUGGUGUUACAGUAAGUGCAUUUCCGGGGAGGGGGUCCAGAUGGAUGUUUGGUGCCUGGAGCCAGGGAUGAGGAGACCGGCAGAGGAGGGGACAGAGCAGAAGACUGUAUGUUAGGAGAGCAACACCAGUGCUUCACAGAGGGACAGGGUGGGAGUUGGGGUGAGGGGAGGAAAACUCCCAAGGGAUCUGCAGCACCCAAAGGGGCGUGAAUAAUGCAGCCGGCAUGCUCAGUGCGUGAGGUGGUGAGGAGCGGUGUUAGAAGGUAGUAAACUGGAAUUACUCAGGAUUUAAACAAGAUACACAGGUAUAUUGCCAGCCACUCAGUGCAAAGAGGAGAACAAAGCCACAGGCGAGAGUCACUCCUGGAGACAGCUGUCCUCUGAGCUGAUCUGCAUGGAUCCACCAACUGUGAAAGUGCAGGGAUCCCCUGGCUGCAUUCUGAGCGGCCUCCUGGUUGACAGCUGUGGGCAUUAGGAAACUGUGGGCCAGCCUUGCGAGUCUGCAGUAGGGUGAGAUCCAGCAAUUCAAGACACUCAUCUGUCUGAAGAUAUUUUGACUGAUUUUCCAAUGAAAGGCGGGAAUACACCCUCCAAGCACCUUCCCAGGCUGCUGUCUAGGUGAAGAUGGAAGAACUCUCCCACUUGCCCUGCUGGCAUUAUCAGAGAAGACAGACAUGCAGAAUCCUCAUUCGGAGGACUUCCUCUGCCUGUGGUGGGGCUGAGGUUAUGGGGUCUGCAGUGUAGCAAAAUCUCCAGGUUUGGAGCUUGCUGAUUGCGCACUGGGGGUGUCAGCUUGUCAGGAAGGAAGAGAAAAGCUGUGUGAAUUAGAAUCACAGUAGGCUUGUUUUCUCUCUCGUUGCCCUCCCUACCCUCUUUUCAUCCCCAGAGCCUGAAUGCACAGAGGAUUUCUAAAGUCACAUACUUCCAUGUGGUUCUGUCCAGGAAGGAGCUGAUUGGUGGGAACUCUUACCAUUUGUGAAAGGUAUUUUUUGGUCUGCACUUGAGGUCUAUGCAUCUGGAGCAUUGUGGCUCAUGUCUGUCUCCACGCAUGCAGGCAUUUGGUGACAUUAACUGGACCUGUGCUGUGAGUGAACUCUCUUUUCUCUCUCCCUAGGAUGUCUGGAUUUCUUUUGGGGUUACUGCUUCUCCAGGUCUGUGCCCCAUGGAUCUCUGCAUGGCGUAUCAGACUUGAUGGGUAUUGCUUAUAGGAAUCUCUUCCUCAGGGUCAAAGAUUCCUCCAGAAAGCGCAAGAUCAGCCUGUGGAGUGGCCAGAGGCUAGCCCUCCCUUAUCCUGAGCCCCAGGCUGGAGUCUGCGAUCAAGACUUCUGUGUACGCUAUGAGAAGAUAGGUUAUGAAGGAGGAGGCUUAUCAUGCACAGUGAAGUAUCCUGGAAUGCUCCAGAACAUCCAUUCCCUGCUCAGAGAAUAGGCCAUAUUUAUAGGGUCAAGCAGGCAAGGGAUUUGCAAUGCAAAGGCCUUCCUGUCAUCGAGAGGGAGCCUCGUGAGGGUGCUAUGCAUGUGCCUGCUGGGGCCAAAGUGGACCUCUCCCCUCAUUCACAUUUAUAGCAAUAACCACAACCAUAUGGUCUCUUACCCUGUGGCUACUGCACGCCGAACACUGGCAGGUACUCUUAUUCACAACAUCUUGUCAAUCGCCCCAGUAAUCUGCAGGAUCAAUACAAUCAGCUCCCCAAACUGAGCUCCAGGAAAGGCCAGUGAGCUCCUACAGUCACCCAGGGAGCAGGUGCCGAGCUGGACUCUGAGCCUGGUGAUUCCAAAGCCUGUCUUUCUCCUACACUUAAGCUGGUCCUGGAUCCACAACUGGAAAUCAGUCUUAGAAUACAGAGAACCCCUGCAAAGGAGGGGUGAGCGUCCCUGUGAUUACGGAAGGCACAGGUCAUUUGAAAGAGUGGACGUUUCAUCAGGCGCUGUUGGGUUUGGCAGGACAUCUGUUUCCGGGAGCACAGUGCAUGAAAGCAGAGAAGCUCCCAACCUCUGUGCUGGUCUGGGUUUUGUGUUUGCUGCUUUGUUUGUUUAAUGCUGUGCUCCACUAACGCCACCCUCCACCCUCUUUGGCAUCAAAAGCAUUAAUAAACCCUGCAUAACCCA